ACGCUCGACACCUACGGGGGCAGCAGUGGGGGAUAUUGCACAAUGGGGGAAACCCGUGAUGCAGCAACGCCGCGUGAAGGAAGAAGGUCUUCGGAUUGUAAACUUCUGUCCUCAGGGAAGAUAAUGACGGUACCUGAGGAGGAAGCUCCGGCUAACUACGUGCCAACAGCCGCGGUAAUCUGAGCGGGCUGGCAAGGC
rnacentral:rRNA from 1 species